AUUGAACGCUGGCGGCAGGCCUAACACAUGCAAGUCGAGCGGAGCGGCGGACGGGUGAGUAAUGCCUAGUAAUCUGCCUGGUAGUGGGGGAUAACGUCCGGAAACGGGCGCUAAUACCGCAUACUAUCAGAUGAGCCUAGGUCGGAUUAGCUAGUGGGUGGGGUAAAGGCCUACCAAGGCGACGAUCCGUACCUGGUCUGAGAGGAUGAUCACUCACACGGGAACUGAGACACGGACCAGCCUCCGACGGGAGGCAGCAGUGGGGAACAUUGGACAAGGGGCGAAAGCCUGUACCAGCCAUGCCGCGUGAGUGAAGAAGGGCUUCGGAUUGUAAAGCACGUUAAGUUGGGAGGCGUUACCAACAGAAUAAGCACCGGCUAACUUCGUGCCAGCAGCCGCGGUAAUUC
rnacentral:rRNA from 1 species